AUGUUAUCACUUAUCAUCAGACCUGCCUGCCCAGAAAGAAAUGAAGGUCGUCCUACUGCAGGUUGUGGAGUGGUCCUGAGCUUCCCUUUGAGAGCUGGGAUUUCCACUGCAGUUCAUCAUUCUCUUCUGUAUGAGGGCGGUGCAUUGCACUGGUCGAUAGUAUUCGGAAUAACACUAAUAAGGCUAUGUUUCAAGAAAUUGGAAUGGGGUCCAAUCUCUGUCCAAAAAAAAGGGGGUCCAAUCUCAAAACUGACUGGAAACGGAAAUGGGCUUCAAUGUAAAUGUUGUUGUUUGCAUGUUCAUGGAAAUGGGGGAUGGAGUCAAAGAGAAGAGUCAAUUCCAAUUCCUGUUUGGAUGUACAAAAACUUGAAAUUGUAA
rnacentral:rRNA from 1 species